rnacentral:rRNA from 1 species
AUGGCGCCCCCCUCCGACGCCCACUCCGCUACCGGCGGCAGCGGCGCCGCCGCGGCUGCACGAUCGGAUCUAGGUGAUUUUCUGGAACAAUUGGAUCUGAACGACGAUGAUUUCCCUGAUGUGGAGAUUGAUGUGGAUGACCCUGAGAUCCAAGAAAGCGUCCGCUGGGUGGCCCUAGCUAGGGUUCAGACUAGCAUGAACUUCAGCCCGUCAGCUUUCUAUAAGGACAUGAGGGCGGCAUGGAACCCCGCCCAGGAAGUAAGAUUCCGGCCAGUUGGCCCGAAUCGAUUCGUUGUCCAAGCAUCUUGUUUGGGGGAUUGGGAG